AAAAAGCGGAGGAAAAGAAACCAACAGGGAUUGCCCUAGUAACGGCGAGUGAAGCGGCAACAGCUCAAAUUUGAAAGCUGGCUUAGGCCCGCAUUGUAAUUUGCAGAGGAUGCUUCUGGCGAGGUGCCUUCCGAGUUCCCUGGAACGGGACGCCAUAGAGGGUGAGAGCCCCGUAUGGAUGGACACCAGACCUGUGUGAAGCUCCUUCAACGAGUCGAGUAGUUUGGGAAUGCUGCUCUAAAUGGGAGGUAAAUCUCUUCUAAAGCUAAAUACCGGCCAGAGACCGAUAGCGCACAAGUAGAGUGAUCGAAAGAUGAAAAGCACCUUGAAAAGGGGGUUAAACAGUACGUGAAAUUGUUGAAAGGGAAGCGCUUGUGACCAGACUUGCGCCGGGCAGCUCAUCAGGGGUUCUCCCCUGUGCACUCUGCCCGGCUCAGGCCAGCAUCGGUUUUCGUGGGAGGAUAAGAACGGUAGGAACGUGGCCCCCCUUCGGGGGGGUGUUAUAGCCUGCCGUACGAUACUCCCGUGGGGACCGAGGUUCGCGCUCCGCAAGGAUGCUGGCGUAAUGGUCAUCAGCGACCCGUCUUGA
rnacentral:rRNA from 1 species